rfam:Ictidomys tridecemlineatus contig022015, whole genome shotgun sequence.
GGGGAUGUAGCUCAGUUGGUAGAGUACUUGACUCACAUGCACAAGGCCCUGGGUUCAAUCCCCAGCAUCACAC